CGGGCUGUGGCGUAGUGGCUAGCGCGCUGGCAUGGGGGGCCAGAGGUCGGGGGUUCGAAUCCCCCCAGCCCGA
rnacentral:tRNA from 1 species